CAUGAUGAUUAGGUUUUUAUGCAUGUGUGAGAGAUGUGCCUCCCUUAAACCUUGGUGUGACCUUGGCACAUUACCUGUUUGACA
rnacentral:snoRNA from 1 species